rnacentral:rRNA from 1 species
GUGGGGAAUCUUGCACAAUGGGGGAAACCCUGAUGCAGCGACGCCGCGUGAGCGAUGAAGCCCUUCGGGGUGUAAAGCUCUUUCGGCAGGGAAGAUUAUGACGGUACCUGCAGAAGCAGCUGCGGCUAACUACGUGCCAGCAGCCGCGGUAAUACGUAGGCAGCAAGCGUUGUUCGGAGUUACUGGGCGUAAAGGGUGUGUAGGCGGUUGUUUAAGUUUGGUGUGAAAUCUCCCGGCUCAACUGGGAGGGUGCGCCGAAUACUGAAUGACUUCGAGUGCGGGAGAGGAUAGUGGAAUUCCUGGUGUAGCGGUGAAAUGCGUAGAUAUCAGGAGGAACACCGGUGGUGUAGACGGCUAUCUGGACCGUAACUGACGCUGAGACACGAAAGCGUGGGUAGCAAACAGGAUUAGAUACCCGGGUAGUCC